UUUUUUUUUUUUUUUUGGCUGUGCCCUCUGCAUGCAAAAGUUCCCAGGCCAAGGAUCAAACCUGCACCACAGAAGUGACCCAAGCCACAGCAGUGACAACACCAGAUCCUUAACUGCUAGGGCACCAACAAAUUCCAAAAAUGCAUUUACUAUACCCAACCUAACAAACAUCAUAGCUUAGCCUAGCCUACUUUAAACAUGCUCAAAACAAUCACAUUAGCCCAUGGGUGGGCAGAAUCAUCUAACACAAAGCCUAGUUUAUAAUCAAGUAUUGAAUAAUUCAUGUAAUUUAUUAAGUACUGUACUGAGAGUGAAAAACAGGCCAGUUGUCUGGGAAAGAAUGGUCAUUUCCUCUUGUGAUCCCCUGGCUGAUUGGGAGCUGUGGUGGCUGCCACUGCCCAGCAUCAUGAGAGAGUAUCACACAGCCCAUCACUAGCCAGGAAAAGACUGAAAUUCAAAAUUCCAAGUUCCUACUGAAUGGGUAUCAUUUUGUACCAUCAAAAAGUUGAAAAUCAGAGUCUCCACUGUGGCUCAGCAGUAAUGAACCCAAGUAAUAUCCAUGAGGAUGCAGUUGGGUUCGUUAACCACUGAGCAACGAAGGGAACUCCCAAAUACUACUUAAUAAUUGCCUCUUCUAGGAAGGCCUCUCUGAUUAUUCAAUAAUCAUGUACCAUUGUUUGGACAAACAGUCCCUGCAUAUGGAAAUAAGAGCUAUGGCCCCAGACCUCAGGUGGGGAGGACAGAGGAGUUGAAAUAUCAUCAGUCAUUAUUAUAGGGAAUAAGUGCUUUGAUAAGUAAGCAAGGGGCUCUGAGAGCACCAGGGGCCAUCACAGAGCCCUGACUGGGGAAGUGUCAAAGAAAAGGGGACAGGUUGGGGAAGGGGUGGGCUAAGGGUUUGGUGCUGGCAUAUGCACACUGCAGUACAUGGAAUGACUGGCCAGAGGGGACCGGCUGUAUAGCGCAGAGAACUUUCCCAACAUUCGGUGAUGAUCUGUAUGGGGAAAGAGUCUGAAGGAGAAUGGAUGUGUGUACAUGUAUAACCAAAUCACUUUGCUGUACAGCAGAAAUGACCAUGACAUUGUAAAGCAACUGUACUGCAAUACGACUUGAAAAAAUAAAAAAAAAAAAAAGAAAGUGUUCCUGGAUGAGGUGAGGUGCCAUCUGCACUGAGUUGUAAAGAAGGACCCAGGAGUCAGGUGCCAAGCAGAGGAGGUGAUGAAGGAAGAAGGUGUCCAAGCUGAGAGGCUGGAGAGACCGUGGGGCACUGAGGGUUCAGUGUGGCCAGUCCAAGCCUCUGACAAGACAGGUCACGGGUCCUUGCUGCUCCAUCAGAUAGAGGUAUGAUUAUACUGGCUCCUAGAAGGUCACUCAGCCACUGUGUGAGGAGGUUUUCUGCGAGGAGCAAGACCAAGCGAAGGGGACCCUUCAGGCAGCCAUCAGUGGCAGCCAGGAGGGAGAGGAGGGGAGCCUGAUGGAGGCGGGGACACUGGAGGGAGAUCGGCUGGGUCAGUGACCUAGGAAGAGCGGGGUGUUGCUGUAGGCAACAGGAUGGGGGCAGGGGUCACUAUCAAAACGAACAGACAGGAGGAGGCAAUUUCAUUUUGCCCCGUUGGGUUGAGUUCCUUGCAGGACCUCCAGAGGACAGGGCCCCUGGGUGGUGGGGACAGAGACUCAUUGCUUAAGCCAGUUCUCUGAACGAGAAAGCUUAAGGGGAGAGCUAUCAGCACCCAGGUGAUAGGCGCAAACUUGGACUUGGAGGACAUCCCCGGGGAGAGAAUCGAAACAAGAAGAGAGGGCCCAGAGGGAGCCCAAGGGACAAUGACAUGGGAAGGUCCAGCCAAAAGGAGGAGGGCAAUCGAGGGAGGAGGAAGGCUCCAGAAGACAGGCAGACCAUGCAGUCAUGGCACACCGCUGGCAGAGGUCACAAUACACCGGUCAACAGGGACCUUGGCCAAAGCAGUCCUGGAGGGAUGAAGGGGGCAGGGACCAGAUCACCCCGGGGGUGGGGGGUGAACACAGGGUGCCAUGAGAAGUACGGGUGACAGGGGUCGGCCAGCCCCC
rnacentral:lncRNA from 1 species